rnacentral:tRNA from 1 species
GCUAAGAUAGAUUAAAAUAAAAUCAUGCCAUUGAAGAGGGCAAUAUAGUAAUACCGCUUCUUAACAA